rnacentral:rRNA from 1 species
AUUGAACGCUGGCGGCAGGCCUAACACAUGCAAGUCGAACGGUAACAGGAAGAAGCUUGCUUCUUUGCUGACGAGUGGCGGACGGGUGAGUAAUGUCUGGGAAACUGCCUGAUGGAGGGGGAUAACUACUGGAAACGGUAGCUAAUACCGCAUAACGUCGCAAGACCAAAGAGGGGGACCUUCGGGCCUCUUGCCAUCGGAUGUGCCCAGAUGGGAUUAGCUAGUAGGUGGGGUAACGGCUCACCUAGGCGACGAUCCCUAGCUGGUCUGAGAGGAUGACCGGCCACACUGGAACUGAGACACGGUCCAGACUCCUACGGGAGGCAGCAGUGGGGAAUAUUGCACAAUGGGCGCAAGCCUGAUGCAGCCAUGCCGCGUGUAUGAAGAAGGCCUUCGGGUUGUAAAGUACUUUCAGCGGGGAGGAAGGGAGUAAAGUUAAUACCUUUGCUCAUUGACGUUACCCGCAGAAGAAGCACCGGCUAACUCCGUG